GAUGAACGCUGGCGGCGUGCCUAAUACAUGCAAGUCGAGCGAACAGACGAGGAGCUUGCUCCUCUGACGUUAGCGGCGGACGGGUGAGUAACACGUGGAUAACCUACCUAUAAGACUGGGAUAACUUCGGGAAACCGGAGCUAAUACCAGAUAACAUGUUGAACCGCAUGGUUCAACAGUGAAAGACGGUUUUGCUGUCACUUAUAGAUGGAUCCGCGUCGCAUUAGCUAGUUGGUAAGGUAACGGCUUACCAAGGCAACGAUGCGUAGCCGACCUGAGAGGGUGAUCGGCCACACUGGAACUGAGACACGGUCCAGACUCCUACGGGAGGCAGCAGUAGGGAAUCUUCCGCAAUGGGCGAAAGCCUGACGGAGCAACGCCGCGUGAGUGAAGAAGGUCUUCGGAUCGUAAAACUCUGUUAUUAGGGAAGAACAAAUGUGUAAGUAACUAUGCACGUCUUGACGGUACCUAAUCAGAAAGCCACGGCUAACUACGUG
rnacentral:rRNA from 1 species